rnacentral:lncRNA from 1 species
AGAUAAAGGAAGCCUCCAGAGGACAUUUUAUAUGUUAAAGUAGACUCAUAAGAUCCUGGGGGCGGGGCUGAGAUUGCCUUUUGCCCUUAGCGAAGAAUUAACAUCGAGGCAGCUGAGCUCCUAGAGGGUCACUCUGCCUGUCUCAAGGACUUGACAGUGGGGUCGAGGCAGUAAGGAAAUUUAAUAACUUUUCUUCUGCCUUUGUUUCCCACAUCAUAGCCCACCCGGAGUUUGGAAGCUAACCCACCCUGGGAAGGAUAACGUAUCCUGCAGGCAUUCUGUCCUCCGUGUCCGAACCUCCCAGGCUUGGUCCUCCCCGGACCGGGACUCAUCUUGUCUCCGUACCCAUGUAAGCUGCACAAUUCGGGGCUUCGAGGUGCCUGCAGAUCACCUCUGGCAGGGGAUGGGGGGUUGGGGAGGAGUUCCAGGUCCGCAGCUCUUUAGAAAGGACUGGAAGGAGGGGUGGAGAGACUCCGAGCCUUGAAAUCUGAUCUGUGGUUGUUUUUCCUCUAAACCUGAAGGGAUCCCCACCCAGCACCUGGCCCAGGGCACCCUUCCAGUCCCGCAGUGACCCAGGAAGCGCCGUGUGCCCCUCCAGUUUCCGUCCUUUGCUCCGGAAGCUCUGCUGGCCUGAUCUGGAGCCUGCCCGGGUCUCGUGACCACCUGCCUGCAGCCCUGGGAGCCUGCCACGUCCGUGGCUGAGCCCCUGUAGUCGGUUUCCCAGUUCACUUCCCACGGAUUCCCACCGGGCUAUGCACCCAGGGCACCUGGAAUGAGUGCUGCUGACAUGGGGUGAGGUGGGGAGGCAGUUUCAAACCCAGUGUUAUGGGGAGAGUGUCGGAAUCCUCACCCUGACCCUGAAUUUCUCUGAUGCCUGUUAAGGAGCCUGGGUGUGCACAGCUACCCUCCCAGUGCCUGACCCCGUCACCACGGGUCACAGUCCCUGGAACAAAGGGGAGGGCUUGUGUGGGCGCCUUGGUGUGAGGCUUUGGCCUCACCCAGCUUGCCACAGGAUCUCUUUCUUGUCAUCCCCCCAUCCCCUACCCCUCCUGACCCUCUGGUCACCCCCCUUCUAUCUGGUGGGAGCAGCCUCUCCCCUGCAUUAAAGCCUGAGGCUGAGCUAAAGCUUUUUUUUUUUUUUAAAGUAUAUAUAUUUUUUCCAAUUUAUUUAUUUUCAGAAAAACAGUCUUCAUUGAGCUAAAGCUUUUGACCGUGACCUCAUCUUGGGAUUCCAGCGGCUUCAGUCGGGACAGUGUAGAGAACCAAUGACUUUCUCAGAGUUCCUUUGUUCCUGACGAGCAGAGGCCUACGUUUACUGUGG